UACGGAGGGGACUAGCGUUGUUCGGAAUUACUGGGCGUAAAGCGCACGUAGGCGGCUUUGUAAGUCAGGGGUGAAAUUCCGGGGCUCAACCUCGGAACUGCCUUUGAUACUGCAAAUCUCGAGUCCGGAAGAGGUGAGUGGAAUUCCUAGUGUAGAGGUGAAAUUCGUAGAUAUUAGGAAGAACACCAGUGGCGAAGGCGGCUCACUGGUCCGGUACUGACGCUGAGGUGCGAAAGCGUGGGGAGCAAACAGG
rnacentral:rRNA from 1 species